CCUACGGGUGGCAGCAGUGGGGAAUAUUGGGCAAUGGGCGCAAGCCUUACCCAGCAAUACCGCGUGAGUGAAGAAGGUCCUCGGAUUGUAAAGCCCUUUGAUCAGGGACGAACAGAUGACGGUACCUGAAGAACAAGCCCCGGCUAACUACGUGCCAGCAGCCGCGGUAAAACGUAGGGGGCGAGCGUUGUCCGGAAUGACUGGGCGUAAAGGGGGCGUAGGCGGCAAAAUAAAAUAGAAGUGGAAUACCCAGGGCUUAAAUCGGGUGCUGCUGCUAAGACUGUUGAGCUUGAGUGCGGGGGAGGUUAGUGGAAUGCCUAGUGUAGCGGUGGAAUGCGUAGAUAUUAGGAGGAACACCAGAGGCGAAGGCGAUUAACUGGACCGUAACUGACGCUGAGGCACGAAAGUGUGGGUAGCGAACAGGAUUAGAUACCCUUGUAGUC
rnacentral:rRNA from 1 species